rnacentral:rRNA from 1 species
UACGGGGGGGGCAAGCGUUGUUCGGAAUUACUGGGCGUAAAGGGCUCGUAGGCGGCCAACUAAGUCGGAUGUGAAAGCCCGGGGCUCAACCCCGGAACGGCACCCGAUACUGGUUGGCUGGAGACCGAGAGAGGUGAGUGGAAUACCCAGUGUAGAGGUGAAAUUCGUAGAUAUUGGGUGGAACACCGGUGGCGAAAGCGGCUCACUGGCUCGGUUCUGACGCUGAGGCGCGAAAGCGUGGGGAGCAAACAGG